AUGACGUCCGUCGAGAUCCCGCUGCAGGGCGCGAGCGCCAUGCUCGUCAUGAACGGACCUUUCACCUUCGUGGAUCCCGUCCAGCCGGUGCAGAUGCGCGACCCCGGCGGGAAGAAGAGAGAUCGCUGCGGGGAUCUCCUUCUCGCCGACGACCCCGAGGCUGCUGGUUGGUCGUCGGCGAUCCUGGACCGCAGCAUCGCCCUGCGCCGUCGGCGAGGCCCAUCUCCCUCUUCCAGUCUUCCUUCCACCGCGGCUGCCUCAUCGUGA
rnacentral:rRNA from 1 species